UAGCCAGGGACGCGCGCUCGGUCCCCCGCCGUGCGCCCCCGGUCCCGCGCCCAGGCUCCCGCCCCUGGCCUCCUUACCAGCCACUUGUCGCCCAGCUGCGAACUGGAGCGGGAGGCGGCGGCCGGAGGGCCCAGGACAGCCCCGGGAGGGCGGCGAGGCGGAGCAGGAGCGCCCCGGCUCCGGCCACAUUCUCAGAGUCAGGAAAAGGGGCGAGAGGCCACAUGUCUCCCUCUCGCCCAACUGAAAACGAAACGGCGCUCCAGCAGAUUGGGUGGAAAGAGCUGGGUCUCUUUUCUCUGUUUUUCACGCUAGAAAGGGCUUGUAAACAUUGUUCCUUUUAAAAUGACCUACCCCAGGCAUUUGUUUGGGCACACUUCUGUCCUGGGGUCAUCGUUCCUAGGUGGCUUCGGACCUGGGACUUUUCCUGUAUCUGCACAUUGUCGUUUUAUACACAAUUGCCAAGGUGGGACUGCUUUCAACUUUACUGUGCUUGAAGCUGCAAAGGCGGAUCCUGUUACAGUGCAAAGAAGAAAUGGCAAACGGAUAACAGCUACUGUGCCUAGAAGAUGGGUUCUGCCCUGAUGUUUCCUGGAAUAAUGCUGAGGACUGCCUUUCGGGUAGCCGCCCUAUUCAGUUCACUUCAUCUCGGAAAUACCUGACCCCUGCCUUGGAUCCAGCGGCCCUCCUGAGAGCUGAGGAAGGAGGAAAUCCUAUGUGUCUGCUCCCGGAGCUGCCACAACCCAUCUUCCCACAACUCGGAACUUGGAAAAAGGAACCCAGGACACGACUUUGCUUUUCUUUUGGACCUAGUUGGUGAUUAUACUCUGUCUCCCAUGGAGACCACGUCUUGCAUCCUUCCUUCUAUAUGGGAUUUAGGAUAGAAAUUAAAAAGAAAACAUAUUAUUUUGAGUCUUGAUUUGGAGAAAGGUAGUAUUCAGGAGGAAGUAGGCUAUGAUACACAUAGAAAAUUUGAGGACAGUGUUACUUAACAAGGACAUUUCUGUCUCUGCAGAAGUCACAGCUUGGAGGAAACCAGUUUGCACUAUUUGAUGAGGAAUUUGGCCACCAAACCACUGAUACUUUCCCAAAGGUUUGGCAGAAAUUGUUUUUUGAGUGGCUCACCAGAGUACCCAGAAGAAUCAGUAUGGAAUUAGAGGACAGUGGCCUACCCUAAAUAAAGACAUGAGUGAUGUAUAAAGUCUAGUGUCAAUUUAUUCAGAAAAUAUCAAAAUUAUUCUGGGAGCUAUGGGUCAAAGUUGAUAGGCACAAACAAACAAAAACGAAAGGUAUUUUAAAUUCACAGCUUGGAUAAGUAAAAGGGAGAUGUUGUCAUUUCUCUUCUUCAAUCCAACUUUAGAUUUUCAAGCCGGAAAAAGGGUAAUUAGAAGUUAGAAAUUGUUAUUGCCAGAAAAUAGCUCUAAACCCUGAAAAAAAAAAAAAAAAAAAAAAAAACUGACCCUCCUCUUGGGGAGUGAUAAACCUCAAUUACUGUUGAUAGUAAAACUGAUAUCAACUCUUCGAAACCAGUGAAAGGUGAAUGGAAACCUUACCCUAGGUUAAGGUUUAAAAAAUGUUCAUAAUAUAUAUUUGAAAGUUCCAUUAUUUAAAAUAUUCAUUAGACAUGCUUUGUAAUGUUAAGUUACUUCAAAAAAUCUUACACAAGGGAAGGGAAGUAUGUAUUAUUCCUUCAUUUAAGAGAAAGAUAAUGUGUGAAUAUUAGUUAAUAUUUAUCGUACAUUUACUACCUGUGUCGAAGCGUAGUGUUACACACUUAAUUUCAAUUAUUUAAUUUGAUUCUAACAAUGAAUCCCCUGAGAUGGAUAAUAUCCUCUUCAUUUUACAGAUGAGACAAUUGAGACUUAAAGGUUAAACAAAUGAUUUCCUAAGCUCAUUCAGCUAAUAAACGGUAGGGGACUGCUUGACACCAGUCCAGUUGACCCUCAAAUCCAUGAUUUCUGCCACCAUAUUCACAGAAACAAGACAAGAGCUGAAAAUAUAGCCUGACUCUUGAAACAGUCAAAGAAUUGUGUAUGUUUAUGAAAGUUCUGAUUAAUAAGAUAUUCUGAGGACAAAAGACAAGGCAUGGGUAGAGGGGCAAUGUGUAGAUUAGAAUGUAUCACAAUGCCCACUAAAUAGUAAAACCAUAGAAAAUGAAAUUUAAUCCUUACUGUGUAGAAUAUUUAGAGUAGAUUGUUUUUUCCUCGGUGUCAAUUACUAUUACAACUAUCAAAGAAUGAAAUUAAACAAGAAACGGUU
rnacentral:lncRNA from 1 species